rnacentral:rRNA from 1 species
AGAGUUUGAUCAUGGCUCAGAUUGAACGCUGGCGGCAGGCCUAACACAUGCAAGUCGAACGGUAACAGGAAGCAGCUUGCUGCUUUGCUGACGAGUGGCGGACGGGUGAGUAAUGUCUGGGAAACUGCCUGAUGGAGGGGGAUAACUACUGGAAACGGUGGCUAAUACCGCAUAAUGUCGCAAGACCAAAGAGGGGGACCUUCGGGCCUCUUGCCAUCAGAUGUGCCCAGAUGGGAUUAGCUUGUUGGUGAGGUAACGGCUCACCAAGGCGACGAUCCCUAGCUGGUCUGAGAGGAUGACCAGCCACACUGGAACUGAGACACGGUCCAGACUCCUACGGGAGGCAGCAGUGGGGGAUAUUGCACAAUGGGCGCAAGCCUGAUGCAGCCAUGCCGCGUGUAUGAAGAAGGCCUUCGGGUUGUAAAGUACUUUCAGCGGGGAGGAAGGUGUUGUGGUUAAUAACCGCAGCAAUUGACGUUACCCGCAGAAGAAGCACCGGCUAACUCCGUGCCAGCAGCCGCGGUAAUACGGAGGGUGCAAGCGUUAAUCGGAAUUACUGGGCGUAAAGCGCACGCAGGCGGUCUGUCAAGUCGGAUGUGAAAUCCCCGGGCUCAACCUGGGAACUGCAUUCGAAACUGGCAGGCUUGAGUCUUGUAGAGGGGGGUAGAAUUCCAGGUGUAGCGGUGAAAUGCGUAGAGAUCUGGAGGAAUACCGGUGGCGAAGGCGGCCCCCUGGACAAAGACUGACGCUCAGGUGCGAAAGCGUGGGGAGCAAACAGGAUUAGAUACCCUGGUAGUCCACGCCGUAAACGAUGUCUACUUGGAGGUUGUGCCCUUGAGGCGUGGCUUCCGGAGCUAACGCGUUAAGUAGACCGCCUGGGGAGUACGGCCGCAAGGUUAAAACUCAAAUGAAUUGACGGGGGCCCGCACAAGCGGUGGAGCAUGUGGUUUAAUUCGAUGCAACGCGAAGAACCUUACCUGGUCUUGACAUCCACGGAAGUUUUCAGAGAUGAGAUUGUGCCUUCGGGAACCGUGAGACAGGUGCUGCAUGGCUGUCGUCAGCUCGUGUUGUGAAAUGUUGGGUUAAGUCCCGCAACGAGCGCAACCCUUAUCCUUUGUUGCCAGCGGUCCGGCCGGGAACUCAAAGGAGACUGCCAGUGAUAAACUGGAGGAAGGUGGGGAUGACGUCAAGUCAUCAUGGCCCUUACGACCAGGGCUACACACGUGCUACAAUGGCGCAUACAAAGAGAAGCGACCUCGCGAGAGCAAGCGGACCUCAUAAAGUGCGUCGUAGUCCGGAUUGGAGUCUGCAACUCGACUCCAUGAAGUCGGAAUCGCUAGUAAUCGUGGAUCAGAAUGCCACGGUGAAUACGUUCCCGGGCCUUGUACACACCGCCCGUCACACCAUGGGAGUGGGUUGCAAAAGAAGUAGGUAGCUUAACCUUCGGGAGGGCGCUUACCACUUUGUGAUUCAUGACUGGGGUGAAGUCGUAACAAGGUAACCGUAGGGGAACCUGCGGUUG